CUUGGUCAUUUAGAGGAAGUAAAAGUCGUAACAAGGUUUCCGUAGGUGAACCUGCGGAAGGAUCAUUACCGAGUUCGAAACGGGCUGUCGCUGGCCUCCCUCGGGGGGCAUGUGCACGCUCGGCUCGCUCCAUCACACCUGUGCACCUUUGGUAGUCUGGCUCGAUUAGACCACUGGGCGUCGAGCCUCGCUAUGUUUUUAUACACUACGUCAGUCUCAGAAUGUAAUGCAUGCUAUAAACGCAUUUUAAUACAACUUUCAACAACGGAUCUCUUGGCUCUCGCAUCGAUGAAGAACGCAGCGAAAUGCGAUAAGUAAUGUGAAUUGCAGAAUUCAGUGAAUCAUCGAAUCUUUGAACGCACCUUGCGCUCCUUGGCAUUCCGAGGAGCAUGCCUGUUUGAGUCUCAUGAAUCUCUCAAGCCAGCCGGGUCUUACCGCCCGACUGGAUUGGACUUGGAGGCUGCCGGUCUGACCGGCUCCUCUUAAAUGCAUUAGCUGGAACCUGAACGCUAUCUACGGUGUGAUAAUUAUCUGCGCCGCACGAAUGGCGCCUCGGUGUUACCCCGUUCACGCGGUCGUGUAGCCUGGGGGCAUGGAACCGCUUCUAAUCGUCCGCGGACGUCGCGACACCUCCACCGGGAGGCCGGCGUGGACAAUUCAUCUGACAUCUGAGCUCAAAUCAGGUAGGACUACCCGCUGAACUUAAGCAUAUCAAUAAGCGGAGGA
rnacentral:rRNA from 1 species